rnacentral:rRNA from 1 species
UGAGGAACAUGACUUUCGGUGGGGGAGUAGCCGGCCCAACGGCCGGGUAAUACCGCGUACGACCACAUGGGGACAUCCCUGAGUGGUGAAAGCAGCAAUGCGCCGAUGGAGUGCCUCGCGGCCUAUCAGCUAGUUGGUGAGGUAACGGCUCACCAAGGCGACGACGGGUAGCUGGCCUGAGAGGAUGGCCAGCCACAUUGGGACUGAGACACGGCCCAGACCUCUACCGGGGAGG